ACUGCAGUACAGUGCAUGCAGUUCAGCGAGCUAGAUUGUACGUGCAUAUUUUAAGCUUUAGAAUAUACGAAGAAGGUAUCUCUCGCGAUUAGAGGAUCAAGAAGUCGCCUUAUUUUCAACAUUUCUGUGAAGGUUAUUGGAAAGAAAUAAUUGUGACUAAAACAUAAGAAACAGGUGUUGUAUCACUUUUUCCUGCCAAGAUGGGCCUAACAUAAAGCACUGCACGCAUGCACUCCAGGCGGGUAUAUACCGGCGGCGUGCCCGACCGUCGCUUGCUUCUCUGUGCUUGUUUGUCGGGGUCCGGAGGCGAAGCAGAUAAAGGGUGACAGGUAACCGUGAUACUUGAUGAGGAUGAUGGAAAACAGUUGCAGGCAGUAUGACAUGGUAGGGGGCCCAAUCAGGGAGACGACGAUGGGAAGAUGAUGGAGAGGGAGAAGAGGGAUACACACUGUAUCAAUAUCAAGAGUGUGAGUGAUUAGGAGAGGAGGAGGAGAGAGAGAGAGAGAGAGAGAGAGAGAGAGAGAGAGAGAUGUGAAUAGACAUUAAGAAAGAGGGAGAAAAUGAGGCAUGCAACAUAGAGGAGAGAGUGAAAGUGAGUAGUGCUUUUAUAUACACACAUACCACCCCACACAUACUGUAAUACCCACACACAACAUGGUGAAAGAGGCAAAAAUAGAGGUAGAAAAUCUUGAAAGUGAGGAAAGAACUAGAGAGAGAGAGAG
rnacentral:lncRNA from 15 species